rnacentral:rRNA from 1 species
AUACGGAAGGUCCGGGCGUUAUCCGGAUUUAUUGGGUUUAAAGGGAGCGCAGGCGGAGAUGCAAGCGUGACGUCAAAUUUCGGGGCUCAACCCCGUCUCGCGUCGCGAACUGCGUCCCUUGGUUGCGGGAAGGGGAGGCGGAACUCGUGGUGUAGCGGUGAAAUGCAUAGAUAUCACGAAGAACUCCGAUCGCGAAGGCAGCCUUCCGGCCCGUCAACGACGCUCAUGCUCGAAGGUGCGGGUAGCAAACAGGAUUAGAUACCCUGGUAGUCCGCACAGUAAACGAUGGACACCCGCGGUUUGGCCUGUAUGGCUGAGCCGCCAAGCGAAAGCGUUAAGUGUCCCACCUGGGGAGUACGCCGGCAACGGUGAAACUCAAAGGAAUUGACGGGG